UGCCAGCCGCCGCGGUAACACCAGCGCCACAAGUGGCAAUCAGUAUUAUUGGGCCUAAAGCGUCCGUAGCCGGAUGAGUGCAUCCUUUGUGAAAUCUCUGAGCUUAACUCAGAGGCAUGCAGGGGACACGGCUCAUCUUGGGAGUGGGAGAAGUUAGACGUACUUGGGGGGGACCGGUAAAAUGGUAUAAUCCCCCAAGGACGACCGAUGGCGAAGGCAUCUAACUAGAACAUGUCCGACGGUGAGGGACGAAAGCCAGGGGAGCGAACCGGAUUAGAUA
rnacentral:rRNA from 1 species